UGUAGGCGCUGGCUUGCCUGCGAUGCGGGCAACUCGGUGCAUCAGGUAUGCCGAGGUGAUGCCAUCGCAGGCAAGCCAGCUCCCACA
rnacentral:misc_RNA from 1 species